UUUUAAAUAUAAAUAUGUUGCAUAUAAUAUUUGGGACAUACUUAACUAAAA
rnacentral:pre_miRNA from 1 species